UGUAUCGGAAGCCUGACGAGGAUGAGAACCUCCGGGGGCAAGAGGUUCGACUCGAGCGCAGCGAGAGAACGUUGCGUCAGCAACGGCCCGCAGGGCGAGCCACGCAGUGGCGAGUCAUCCUCUAUCGCCGACCA
rnacentral:sRNA from 1 species